rnacentral:rRNA from 1 species
AUGGAAAACGUCGACCAGUACGUCGCCUCCUACCUUGGUGGUAAUAGACUACGUAGCUUUGCUCAGCGUCCGGCCACUGGAUCCAGAGGGGGCCUCCUCAUGCUCUGGGAUGAUAGUGUCGUUCGCAUAUCCGAUGUCCACAUCACUGAGUUCUGCCUUUCCGCAACAGUCAACGUCAUUCAUUCUGAUACCCCUUUCAAGAUCACUAGUGUCUAUGGUCCAACGGCCUCCAACAAAAAGGAUGAUUUCUUCAGUGAGUUGAUCGCUCAAAAACCCAUCAAUGGCACUAAAUGGAUUGUCAUGGGCGACUUCAACCGGAUUUACCGAGCAUGAGAUAAAAAUAAUAGGAACAUCAAUCGCAGCCGCCUCAACCGCUUCCGUGCUACACUAGACACUUGUGAACUAAAAGAGAUCCACCUCCAGAACAGACGCUUUACUUGGAGUAACGAGCAUCAAAACCCUACUCUGUGCAAGCUGGACUCGGUUUUCUGCAAUGCCGACUGGGACAUGCAUUUUGAUUCUCAUGUGCUUCACGCCAUUUCUUCUUUGCUAUCAGACCAUUGCCCCCUUCUCCUUGCUGAUGACAGGGGACCGAAGCGACCAAGAUGCUUCAGAUUUGAGAAUUUCUGGUCCUGUAUCCCAGGAUUUUUUGACACCGUGUCCAAGGCUUGGGAGGAGCCGUGUGCCCACACGGAGCCAUACCAACGGCUUUUCCAUAAGCUCAAGCAAACGGGGCGUCAUUUGUCUAAAUGGAGUAACAGACUCUUCUCCAAGGUAAAGUUGUAUCUUCAUGCGGCCCUCCUCGUCAUCCUUCGUCUUGACAUUGCCCAAGAGACGCGCGUCCUUUUGGUGGGAGAAAGGGAACUU